rnacentral:rRNA from 1 species
UUAAACAUGCAAGUCGAGCGGUAACAGGAGAAGCUUGCUUCUCGCUGACGAGCGGCGGACGGGAGACGUNAUNCNUANNAAUNUANUUNGNGGNGGGGGAUGGCACGGGGNAACUCGUAUUUAAUACCGCAUACGACCUACGGGAGAAAGGGGGCAGUUUACUGCUCUCGCUAUUAGAUGAGCCUAAGUCGGAUUAGCUAGAUGGUGGGGUAAAGGCCUACCAUGGCGACGAUCUGUAGCUGGUCUGAGAGGAUGAUCAGCCACACCGGGACUGAGACACGGCCCGGACUCCUACGGGAGGCAGCAGUGGGGAAUAUUGGACAAUGGGGGAAACCCUGAUCCAGCCAUGCCGCGUGUGUGAAGAAGGCCUCUUGGUUGUAAAGCACUUUAAGCAGUGAAGAAGACUCCAUGGUUAAUACCCAUGGACGAUGACAUUAGCUGCAGAAUAAGCACCGGCUAACUCUGUGCCAGCAGCCGCGGUAAUACAGAGGGUGCAAGCGUUAAUCGGAAUUACUGGGCGUAAAGGGAGCGUAGGUGGCUCUAUAAAGUCAGAUGUGAAAAUCCCCGGGCUUAACCUGGGAACUGCAUCUGAAACUGUACAGCUAGAGUAUGUGAGGGGAAGGUAGAAUUCCAGGUGUAGCGGUGAAAUGCGUAGAGAUCUGGAGGAAUACCGAUGGCGAAGGCAGCCCUUCUGGCAUAAUACUGACNCUGAGGCUCGAAAGCGUGGGUAGCAAACAGGAUUAGAUACCCUGGUAGUCCACGCCGUAAACGAUGUCUA